UUGCCAUUGACGGGUAACGGAGGAUUGGGGUUCGAUUCCGGAGAGGGUGCCUGAGAAACGGCUACCAUGACUACGGUCAGCAGCAGGUGCGCAAAUUGCCCAAUGCUAACACUUAGCGAGGCAGCGACGAAAAAUAGUACUCCUGCGGCGAAAUUCGCCUCAGGAUGCAAUGGAUUGUAUCUAGUAGACACUGCUGAGUAACAAUUGGAGGGCAAGUCUGGUGCCAGCAGCCGCGGUAAUUCCAGCUCCAAGAGCGUAUAUAAAUGUUGUUGCGGUUAAAAAGCCCGUAGUUGGAUUUGAGAACAUUGCUUGUGGCAGCGCCCGUGAGCCUUCGGGUGAGCGGGAAGAGCACCACAUAUAGGCGAUGGUCUGAGACAUGUGGGAUUGUUCACUGGCUGAAGGCACAUUCAGUUGUGCCGGAGGCGAAAUCGGAGCGUUUACACUCCAUAAGGUGCGCCCGCAGACGUCACUGUGAGUAAACCAGAGUGUUCAAGGCAACCACCUAGCGUGGUUGAAUGUUAAAGCAUGGAAUGACAAGGGAUCGACCUUCAGGGCCUCUUUUUGUUGGUUUUUAAGCCUUGAUAGGGGAAUUUUGCGGCUGUGAGUCGGCAUGUUGUCCUUGUGGCAAUGCGUCGACGCGGUCGCGCACGGGAUCAAUAGGAGCACAGGGGGCCAUGAGUAUUGGCGGGCUAGUGGUGAAAUACAUAGACCCCGCCAGGACUGACAUCAGCGAAAGCACUUGGCUAUUGUGCUUUCAUUAAUCAAGGACGAGAGAUCGGGGAUUGAAGAGGAUUAGACACCCUCGUAAUCCGUUCUGUAAAUUCUGCAGACUUGGGAUCGGUCAGCGCUCUGAUUCUAGACCUGAUCGGCACCUUCCUCCUCUAUCGAGAAAUCAAAGUUUUUGUGUUCCGGGGGGAGUACAUUCGCAAGGCUGAAACUUAAAGGAAUUGACGGAGAACCACCACCAGUCGUGGAGUGUGUGGCUUAAUUCGACCCAACACGGGAAAUUUUACCAGGCCAGGACGUGUAAGGAUUGCCAGAUUGAUAGCUCUUGCAUGAUUCCGCGAAGGGUGGUGCAUGGCCGCUUCUGGUUGGUGAAGUGAUUUGUCUGCUUAAUUGCGUUAACGAACGAGAUCUCUGCCAAUUACUAGAUGCCUGUGUCGUCUUAGGUAGCCGGCCGAUAUGCCCUCGUGGUGUGUCGUGCACAUUGGCGCUGAGACGCAGGAUGUUUACUUAUUGGGAUUAUGCAAUUUCAACUGCAUUGAAACAAGAGCCCAAAGCAGGUCUGUGAUGCUCCUAUAUGUUCUGGGCUGCACGCGCACUACACUGAUUCAGCCAACGAGCUUCUGCCUUCCAGGCAGCCUGGUCCGAAGGGAUUGGGGAAUCUUAUGAGCCUGAGUCGUGAUGGGGAUUGAUGUUUGUAAUCAUUCUCCAUGAACGAGGAAUGUCUUGUAUCCGCGUUUCAUCAGAACGCAGAGAAUACGUCCCUGGUUCUUGUACACACCGCCCGUCGUUGCCUGUGAUGGAUUGUGAGUAGAGCCAUCUGGAGGUGCUUGCUGGGGCGACUCAGUAGGUUGCCAAAACUUGGCAAUACUCCCAAUCUAGAAGAGGCAAAAGUCGUAACAAGGUA
rnacentral:rRNA from 1 species